ensembl:lincRNA 1700021F13Rik RIKEN cDNA 1700021F13 gene
GGGUGGAGAUUAACGGCUGGCGGAGGGGUUGGAGCAGUGGGCGGAAAAGAAGCAAUGGGGGACAUGAAGAGACUUCGCUUGCCAAUGGGAUCUGUCUUCUAGUCCGGUUUGCCACAACCAAGAAAGUUUAAGCUCAACAAAGUGAAGACCAGACAGUUGAAUGGGAAAAUGAAAAGGAGUGUGAACUAUCCUACAGGAGACAAGAAAAAAUGAGGCAGAGGAAGUGCCUUCGAACAACGAGCAAGGAGCAAGGAAAGAAAGAAAAAAAUGAGAAUACCAGCUCGACAGUCCAGAAAUGCCUGGUAUUUGUGAGGUUUAAUUCCCAGUACUGGAGAAGUUUAAAUUAAAAUAUGUAUGUAC